rnacentral:rRNA from 1 species
AACGAACGCUGGCGGCAUGCCUAACACAUGCAAGUCGAACGAGACCUUCGGGUCUAGUGGCGCACGGGUGCGUAACGCGUGGGAACCUGCCCUUAGGUUCGGAAUAACUCCCCGAAAGGGGUGCUAAUACCGGAUAAUGUCUUCGGACCAAAGAUUUAUCUCCUUUGGAUGGGCCCGCGUUGGAUUAGCUAGUUGGUAGGGUAAAAGCCUACCAAGGCGACGAUCCAUAGCUGGUCUGAGAGGAUGAUCAGCCACACUGGGACUGAGACACGGCCCAGACUCCUACGGGAAGCAGCAGUGGGGAAUAUUGGACAAUGGGCGAAAGCCUGAUCCAGCAAUGCCGCGUGAGUGAUGAAGGCCUUAGGGUUGUAAAGCUCUUUUACCCGGGAUGAUAAUGACAGUACCGGGAGAAUAAGCUCCGGCUAACUCCGUG